rnacentral:rRNA from 1 species
GACAGAGGGUGCAAACGUUGUUCGGAAUUACUGGGCGUAAAGCGCGUGUAGGCGGUCAGGCAAGUCGGAUGUGAAAUCCCGUGGCUCAACUACGGAAGUGCACCCGAAAACUGCUUGACUUGAGUCCCGGAGAGGAAGGCGGAAUGCUUGGUGUAGAGGUGAAAUUCGUAGAUAUCAAGCGGAACACCGGUGGCGAAGGCGGCCUUCUGGACGAGGACUGACGCUGAGACGCGAAAGCGUGGGGAGCGAACAGG